rnacentral:tRNA from 1 species
GGUUAUAGCUCAGUGGUAGAGCCCUUGCCUUGCACACAUGUAAAGCACUGGGUUCGAUCCUCAGCACCA